GCCCUCACUGCCACUCAGGCCUGAAGGAGAACCUUCAGCAGGGUCAAAGGAACUGUUCUGUCCUGCCUUUCUUUGCAGAUGACCCUGAUGAUGAUCCUGAUGAUGAAGAUGAGCCUGUUGACAAAGAUGAUCCUGUGGACGAAGACUAUCCUGUGAAUGGAGACGAUCUGGAUUCCCUACGCAUACCCAUUACUGAGCCUCUGGGAGAUGCUGAGGGUGUGUCUGCAGGGAGGACUUUGGUGGAUGUUGCACGCAGGCCCAGCUCCCAUGGCAGGGGUCCUCCAAGAAGGAAGAAGAAACCUAUAGGAGCUAGUACAUCCCUGGAGGAAUCCAAACAUCUGGAAAAACUCCUGAGUGGUGUGGACAGCCAGCAUGGUGGGUGCAUUUCCCUCAGCCUUCCCCUGGGACUCAGCAGCCGGGGGCAUUGGCUGCACAUCUGGACACGCCAUGCCCGGCACAGUGGGAAGGCAUCCAUGCAUCACAGGCCAUGCACACCCUAAGAUCCCCUGCAAUUUCCCAGUCUCUGCGCACAUCUGGAGGGGCCGCUCUGUGCAGGAGGGAGGGCCCUGGAGCAGCUCCAAAAUGCUGGCCAUUUUCCUUCUCCUUAUCCAUGUCUUCAACAAGUGUUGCCUGGAGCAGAAUGGCACAGCACAGAGGAAUUACGGUGUGCAGGCUCAGGGGUUCGGGUACUGAGCAGGCCUGUGCCAAAGGGCAGCAAGGUGCCUGCAGGCCCCAGCUCUGGGGGAAACAGAGAACAUCCUGCCUGUAUCCACCGUGCUGCCAGCUCAGCAGUGCAGCACAGCACGGGCUCACGCUCCCCAUUGCUCCCACAGAUGCAGCCAGCACCUCAACACAUUCUGACAUCAUCUGGAAAAGCAUGAGAAGAGUUUUCUGCUGGGGAACACCUUGUUUGAUUAAGUUGAUGGCCAUUGUGGCUGGUGCGGCACUGUGCCUGAUGAUGUGCUGUGCAGCAAUCUGGUAUUGCUGGAAGAGAAAAUCGUGCUCCUGUGCAUCUUCAGAAAAUUAUCCUAAAAAUAGAGACAACGACAACUUGACAAUAUAACCCAGCUCUUCACUUCUGCCCCUAUCUGCCCUGCCGUGGCUGCACCACCAUAAUGAAGGCAUCCCCAAAUCCAUCCCUCCUCAACGAGACCCUCUGCCCCGGAGUCCCCUGGUCCUGUUCCCCGGCCAGGACUGAAGGUGGGCAGCCCUUGUCUGGCAGGGCAGGGCUUGGCCCCUAUUUUAUGUUUAAAUAAAGAAAUAGAGUUUUCACAGCUA